ACAGAGGUCUGCCUGCUUGACCGCCCCAGUCAUCAACACCCUUGCUGGCAAACUUGCACUACAGUAUAUUCAGGUUUAAAGCAAACAUUCAGUCAUUAAAAUGUGCAUUCUACCUGCCAUGAAUGAAGACUGAUGUUUAAUACGAAACUAAAACUUUGACCUCUAAUCUUGUUCUCUUCUGAAGUCUGGUCAUAUACAGCUUUAUCCAUGAGAAAAAAUAUGUUUUCAUUGAAACUAGGUGUGGGUAUUCAGAUCUAGAGCCUUUCAGAUAUGGAAUUGAGUUUACUUUACAGAUUGCUGAUUUUCAGCUUCAGCUGAAACAGUCUGCGGCCUGUGUAAUGUUUGUUCCUUUAAAGGGGACAUGUUUUGCAUAUUUAAUUUGUCCCGUCCCUCUAGUUUGUUAUAAAAGUUGUUGAUAUGUAAAAGGUCUGCAAAGUCUGUGAUAUCACGUGUUACAGAAGUGCAUAUGUAUGCCUAGCGGUUAGUCUGGUACACCCCCAAACAAAGCCAAGUAAAGCUAGAGCAGAGACCAACACUUUCUAUAUGUGCUGGAAGCAGUUGACCAAUCAGAACAAAGUGGGUCACCUGGCCAAUCAGAGCAGACUAGGCUUCAAUGGGAGGGGGGCCUCAAAAAGACAGGAGCUACAACCAAGUGUUUCAGACAGAGGCUGGAAAGAGGAGCUGCAGGAAUGGACAGUGUUGAGGAAACUGAUUCUUUUUCUGAACAUUUGAGCAUGUAAACCUUUUCAAGUAACAACACAAAUUAAAAUUAUGAACCUGAAUAUGAGCAUAAUAUGUCUUCUUUAACUUGGCUAAAAAGAGCAUACUAAUGUUACCUGAAUGUUUAUGCACAAUACUGUUGCUAAUAAAAAGGGACUGGGAGAGAAUGGAACCAGCUACCGUAACCCAAAACUAAUGGCAGGCAGCGGAUGGCUCAGGAGGAUACCUCUCACAAGGUGGCAGGCAGCAUGGGGACCCUGUACUACAUUGCAUGGAUGAAUACAUCUCCAAUUAGCCACAUAUAGAACCUAAACUGCCAUGGCAGUCCAACGGUUCAAUAUAAACACAAUGAGGUUAUACUGCAAUGCUCUCCUGGAACUAGUGAUUAAGAAGGAAGCAGCUGAAACGACAGAUGAAAUUGCCUGCCUUCAAGCCGAUGUGGCCGAGCUGACUUCACUGGUCACUCCAUCCAAACCAACAACCUGUCCUUUAAAAUCCUAUUCCAUCAUGGCUAUAUAAAGAUGUAUUACCGUGUAUCUCUGAGAGCUACAGGAGCUGCAGGAUCCAAACAUCAUUGCAUUUAUAAGUAUCAGUCUGGUUGAGAUUAAAACGGCAGUUGUACAACUAUUCUCUCUCUCGCUCUCUCUUGUCUCCUAAUGUGUCUCCUUUCCCCCUCAUUCUGCCCACCUCACCUCUCUCCCCCAUUUUUCUCCUCACUCCAACCGUUCGAGACAGUUGACCGCCCACAACCUAGUCCGUUUCUGCCAGUGAUUUCUUCCUGUUAAAAGGGAGUUUUUUUUCCUCCACAGUCGCCAAGUGCUUGCUAAUUGUGGGAUUUGUUGGGUUUUCCCUGUAAUAUUGUAAUAUUGACCUUACUAUGUAAAGUGCUUUGAGACAAUGUAUGUUGUGAUUUAGAUUUUUUGAUGUUGAAUUAAAUUGAAAAUUUUGUGGUCUGAGAUAAAUAGUAAUCACGUUUCGCAUUUUUAAGGGAAGCAGUGCAGCGAUUUCCAAAUAGGCGAAAGUGUGGCCAGUCAGCAACAGAACAAGACUUCCUUGCAACAGCCCAAAGCUGAUUCUUCCUGUUACUGGUUCCUCUGUCUCCAGAGCUGCAGGAUCCAAAUCUGACAUUAUUAGGGGCCGGAGUCGCCAU